rnacentral:rRNA from 1 species
AAUCAACGCUGGCGGCGUGCCUCAGACAUGCAAGUCGAACGCGAAAUUUCCCUUCGGGGAGAAAGUAGAGUGGCGCACGGGUGAGUAACACGUAGGUAAUUUGCCUUUGGGUAGGGGAAUAACUCAGGGAAACUUGAGCUAAUACCGCAUAAUGCAGCGGCUCGACAUCGAGACAGUUGUUAAAGCGGGGGAUCGCAAGACCUCGCGCCUAAAGAGAAGCCUGCGGCAGAUUAGCUAGUUGGUAAGGUAAUGGCUUACCAAGGCGACGAUCUGUAACCGGCCUGAGAGGGCGGUCGGUCACACUGACACUGACAUACGGGUCAGACUCCUACGGGAGGCAGCAGUCGGGAAUUUUGGGCAAUGGGCGAAAGCCUGACCCAGCAACGCCGCGU